rnacentral:rRNA from 1 species
GACGAACGCUGGCGGCGGGCUUAACACAUGCAAGUCGAACGGAAAGGCCCUGCUUGUGUGGGGUGCUAGAGUGGCGAACGGGUGAGUAACACGUGAGUAACCUGCGCUGGGCUUGGGGAUAACUUCAGGAAACUGGUGCUAAUACCUGAUAGGAGCGCCUGCUGCAUGGUGGGGGUUGGACAGUUUCGGCGGUUGUGGAUGGACUCGGGGCUUAUCAGCUGGUUGGUGGGGUAGUUGCUUACCAAGGCUUUGACGGCUAGCCGGCAUGAGAGGGUGACCGGCGUCAUUGGGCCUGAGAUACGGAGCAGAGGCGAAUGGGAGGCAGCAGUCGGGAGUAUUGCACAAUGGGGGGGAGCCUGAUGAAGAAACGCCGCGUGCGGGAUGACGGCUUUCGUGUGGUAAACCGCUGUAGCCUGAGACGAAGCGGGAGUGACGGUAAUGGGUAAAGAAGCACCGGCUAACUACGUG